GGGGCAGAGAGACAGGUGGUGCAUGGUUGUCGUCAGCUCGUGUCGUGAGAUGUUGGGUUAAGUCCCGCAACGAGCGCAACCCUUAUUGCCAGUUACCAUCAUUUAGUUGGGGACUCUGGCGAGACUGCCGUGGAUAACACGGAGGAAGGUGGGACGACGUCAAAUCAUCAUGCCCCUUAUGUCCUGGGCUACACACGUACUACAAUGGCAACAACAACGAGCAGCAAGUCCGCGAGGCCAAGCGAAUCUCCAAAUGUUGUCCCAGUUCAGAUUGCAGGCUGCAACUCGCCUGCAUGAAGUCGGAAUUGCUAGUAAUGGCAGGUCAGCAUACUGCCGUGAAUACGUUCCCGGGCCUU
rnacentral:rRNA from 1 species